rnacentral:misc_RNA from 1 species
AUUAUUUUCUACAAGGCAUAGCGAAGCAAGAAAAAAAAAAUGAAAAUUGUAUUCACAACAUCUAUCCUUAUUAAAUGGUGGAUUUAAUCUUGCAUCUUGCAGAAGUAUCUCAACAACUCUCAUGGUGGGUCUUGCAUCUUUCUCCUCAUGGACACAUUUUAAAGCCACCUCAAUAAGAAUUUUCAUCUGGUUCUUGUCAUAACUUCCUUCUAAUUUGGGGUAAAAUCUUUUCCAUCCUGAGGUACAUUGCAGUAGCUUCCUUAACCGUGCCUUCACCUAUGUCUUCUGUCCUACAUGUCGGCUGUUGGGUUACUUUAGUUACUAUCUCCAAUAAUGCCA